AUAUUUAAUAUUUUAAAUAUUUUUACUUAAAUAAUAAAUUUAAAAAUUAAUGAUUAAUAGCUCAUGAUUGAAUCUGCUGGAUUUAGACCUGGCAAACAGGCGGGUUGGAUAACCCACAGGCGGGUCAUUUUAUUCGCGUGUUACUUACGCAUGGAUAAAAUUUACACGCAAAUUUUUGGGUAGCCAACAUCUUUAUCCAUACCCGCCUGCAAGUGGUGGUGGGUCGGUAUGCAGGUAACCCGCAACUUUUUUUCUUUUUGUCUCAUAUAUUUUUUAAAUGCAAAUACAUAUAUAUAUAAGUUGUAAAAAUAUAACAUAACUCAUUAUUUAAAAUAUCAUAACAUACAAUAAAAAUAUUUAAAGUCUUAAAACAAAAAAUUUUUGUAAUAUAAAGGACGCGAUAAGAAAUUAGGAUUAGAAUUUUUAGGAUGGAUAAAUAAAAAUAUAUGUAUUUUAAUUAAAAAAAUAUAUUUUUUAAUUAAAAAAUAUAUAUGCGGGUAACCAUGAGUACCCGCGAGUUAUCCAAAAUGCCCACAGCUUAAUGGAUACUUACCCAUUUUACCCGUAAUUUUUUGGGUUCGAAAAAUUGGUACCCAUACCCGCAAAUUUGCGGAUAACCCGCGGGCACCCGCG
rnacentral:lncRNA from 1 species